CAGAAUAUAGUUUAUUUAAAAUAUUAAUUUUGGAGAUUAAAGAUAAUUUUUUUUAUUCUGA
rnacentral:tRNA from 1 species